GAUGAACGCUGGCGGCGUGCCUAAUACAUGCAAGUCGAGCGAACAGACGAGGAUCUUGCUCCUCUGACGUUAGCGGCGGACGGGUGAGUAACACGUGGAUAACCUACCUAUAAGACUGGGAUAACUUCGGGAAACCGGAGCUAAUACCGUAUCAUAUAUUGAACCGCAUGGUUCAAUAGUGAAAGACGGUUUUGCUGUCACUUAUAGAUGGUUCCGCGCCGCAUUAGCUAGUUGGUAAGGUAACGGCUUACCAAGGCGACGAUGCGUAGCCGACCUGAGAGGGUGAUCGGCCACACUGGAACUGGAACACCGACCAGACUCCUGCGGGAGGCAGCAGUAGGGAAUCGUCCGCAAUGGGCGAAAGCCUGACGGAGCAACGCCGCGGGAGUGAUGACGGUCUUCGGAUCGUAAAACUCUGUUAUUAGGGAAGAACAAAUGUGUAAGUAACUAUGCACGGCGUGACGGUACCUAAUCAGAAAGCCACGGCUAACUACGUG
rnacentral:rRNA from 1 species